CCCGAAUUCCCGUCUUAGAAUGGAUAGUGUCUUGGCAGUCCCAGCCAGGGCAGAGGAACCGGGUCAGGAGCAUCAGCCCCAUAAGCCUGGGAGUGGGAGAUGACAGAUUGUGUUUGGAGACUGAAAAGACUCCAGAGGGUUCAGAUGGAAGCCACCAGAAGACCACCAAGAAUGCUGUUGCAGUAGCCAGGGACAAGGAGAAAUGUGUUUGCCAAGUUUGGAAUCCACUUGAACCUGAAAGUCUGUGGAAUUGCCAAGUGUUCUCAGGGGUCUCUGGAGUCUGAAAUUCCCCUCCUGCUUCUUGGGCCUGCGCUGGGUAAAGUGGGAGGCUGCAGAGAGGUAGUUUUCUGUUUUAUUAAGCGCACACACACAAUUCUAAAUAGUGUGUUCUCGAAUCUGCUGGAACUGGGCAAGGGGAAACCAGCUCCUCGAGGCUGCUUCUCGAGACAUGGAGAGGGGCUGGGGACACGGCACAGGCAUAGAACCCGGGCUUGGCAUGUGGGAAGCCCUGUGUUCCAUCUCCAGCAGCAACAGCAGCCUGGCCUACUCAGCGCUCUGUAAUGAAAACUGACACAGGUGCCUUUUGCCAAUUCUUAACAAGAUUCUCAUCGGCUAGCAGCGGUUGUUCUGAAGACAACACAUUCAAGGAGCUUGAUGAGUACGAGCUGCUAUGGUUCUCAGUCUCUAGGACCCUCCUCUUCCACCUGCUCAACUGUCCUCUGGAAAGGAGAGAAGCCAUGCUUGGUCACUAAAUCGGGAGGGAAAAUGUGGCACCUGACUGAUGUUACCUCCAUGGACAGUCCCUUAGAUGGCCCAGUACUUGGGCCUGAGCUCCCCUGCUCUCAGACUCCUGGAGUGGCCCAACCCCCCAAGUCCUACUCUCCGUGCUCCCACCCUCCCCUACAGAGCCCAGCCCACCUCCCAUGGGACCCUGUCCAUCCAUCUUUCCCAUUUGCUUCCCCAGUGGAUUUUUGACUCCCUCCCCAGCUGAGGACUCAUAUUUAAGCAGACCAAAGUGACAUUUCAUCAUUAAUACCUAAUGCAGAGCCAUUGAAUUGUGUAAAGAUAUUUCAUGGGCAGAGUCCCCUCGCCCCUCUCCUUGAGCCCCCUCUCCCUUCUAAUUGUUUUUACUCCCCUAAAUUCAGAUGUAAUUCCGGUUGGAGAAAUCGCGCUGGAUUACAUCUGCAGGCAGGGAAUUAUUAGUAUGACUUUUUGGCGGCGUGACAGUGAUGUUUCGACAAUCUAUACAUAUUGAUUUAGGUCGAUAAUAAACAAUUUGAUUAGCCUCCCCAUCCGUGGACUGUCAUUUCAAUCACCGGCAGGGCCCAGCAGAGUGGAAGGGAGGCAGCUCACACAAGUGGCAAGAAUCCUCAAAAUAAGAAACUCGGCCCUGAUUAGAGGCCUGGCUUCAGUGAAUUGGACAAGACAGCUCAGCUGCCACGUUAUUAACUCCCUGGGAAAAUACUCGGCCGGUCCCCGGGGC